GUUGCAAAGCAAGAGGCAUUGCACAGGUGAGUGCUGUAUCACAUCUGUGUCAUUAAGCAGCAGAGAGAAGGGAGGCUAUGUCUAUACUCAGUGUUCUGACCCAUGAAUGUUUGAAUGAUUAAUAGUCUAACACU